rnacentral:ncRNA from 1 species
AACAAACAAACUGAGCAGGCCACGGGUUCUUUUUUUGAAGCUUGUGGGGCCGGGUUGCCUUCGCGCAACAACAGAUCGUGAUCGUUCACCUUCUGUGGGACAGGN